UCUUGAAUGAGAAGUUAAACAGCAUGAGUCUUAGUGGAAAAACUAAAAUCAGUGUCCACUACUUAGUAUGUUAGCAAUGAUGUAGCUAGACUGCUGAAUCAUGUCAUGAAUCACGUAGGGUUCUAGGAUAGAAGUCACUGAUCUGCAGUCUGUAACCUUAGUGCUGUAAUAAAUCCACAAGUGCCCUUCUGCUGGGGGCUGCAUUUCCUAAAGUGACUACUUGGGACUUUGUGUCUAUGAUUCUAUGAUUAAAGAACUGUCAUCUCUCCCUUCUUCAGUAGAAGAGGAGGAUAUUCAUCCUCUGCUGGUGGAAUCACUAGUGAAAGGGGUUCUAUGAUGCUCUGCUUAUAUUCUAAUAGAGGGGCAUUUUUUAAUUGCCAAUCAUAUCAUUUGGUGAUCUUGGAAUCUGUAAACUAGCUUACCGACAAGCUCCAGGCACUGGGACUCAAGCCUACCUGUAACAGCAUUGCUCAGUGCCUUGAGACCCAUGGAGACAGUGAAUUCUGAUACAGCUCUUCACAUUUUUGUUUGCUUCUUGCAUGACACAGGCUGCAACCUCAACAGCCAUUUACUGAUGAUGAGGAUAAAACGAGUCUCUCCUUUGCCUGGAUGACAGAGGGAAGCUUAAAUCCUCCACUUGGGAAGUUCAAGCUCAUCAAAAGGUCUCAUUGCAUUAUAAACCGAACUAAGUCUAAGUUUAGUGUGUGCUAGAGCCUGCAGUGCAACAUUAAUGAUGCAGCAGUACAGACUGGCACCAGGAGUGGGGAGACCGGCUGCUGCGCUUGCGUCCCGCUGCUAUUUCUGGCAUGCAGAGGCUGUGCGGUGUGGGAUGGGUCAAAUGGUAGCAGAUGUGGAUAACAAAAGUAAUAUGGACAUAACAGCUUGCUUCUGAGGACCUCCAAGCACUCCAAGGACAUGGUAAGCAUUGUCAUGAUGGUUCUGUAUUAUGGGGAAGCUAGGUAGAAUCAUAGAAUCAUAGAAUAGUUUGGGCU
rnacentral:lncRNA from 14 species